rnacentral:lncRNA from 10 species
GUGAUGCCUUUGUUUUGAACUUUUUGCAUACUCACAAAACAAUCAGCAUGCACUCCCCUAUUCUGAGCCCAUAAAAGCCCCAGACUCAGCCACACUGGGAGAGAAACCACCCAAUUUGGGGUGGGGUACCACCCCUGCAUCCCCUCUGCACUGAGAGCCAUUAUGUUGCUCAGUACAAUUCUUCUACACCCUCCUCACCCUUCAAUUGUCAGAAUAUCCUCAUUCUUCUUCAAUGCAGAACAAGAACUCGGGAACCACCAAAUGCAGCUCAUCCAGGAUCAUCAGAAGGGUGAGUAAAUGUGGACCUAUGAUGCUUCUCUUUUUCCCAAGGUUUCUCAUCCUCAGACUAUCUUCUGAAGGCAGAUGAAGCACCAAUCCUCUGAUUAGCCAAUUAAGGGCAAAUGGUGCAGCUACAGAGCAAUGCUGGGG